UGAUGAUGAUUAUGAUGAUGAUGAUGAUGAUGAUGAUGAUGAUGAUGAUGAUGAUGAUGAUGAUAGUUAUAAUAAUGGUGAUACGACCGCACGAAAAGGACGACGAUAUCACAUUUACGGUUGUUAUAAAAUAUACACGUAAUGUAUCCUAGUCUUGAGAAUAAUACAAGGAACGAGAUACACGGGUAUUGUUCUGAUUUAAAUAUUCGAUAUUGCAGUGCGUUUGUAAAAGUAUGUUUCUUUUUUUUUUUCAUCCUAUCGUUGUCAAAUGAAUUUUGCAUUGUUUUUGGAGGAUUGCAAGUGCAGAAGGACCCAAUCCAAUGAAAGAAUGGGAAAAACUGUUCGUAAAGAAAGAAAAAACAAAGAUAGAACGAAAGAAAAAAAAAAAAUAGAGACGGAGAGAGAGAAAGAGAGAGAGAGAGAGAUGGCGUUUUUUAUUUUAAUAAUUUUUUUCCAGUAUUAUCUAGUCUCGCGAAAGUUUCGGGAACGCGAAAGGAACGAAUACAGUUGGUGUUCUUUUUUCCUUUUAUCAUAUUUACAUGUAUAAUUGUAUAUGCAACGAACAUUUCACACGCUAAAACGUUUCGCGAAUAUACAUAAAUAUAUAUUAUAGUAGUAGUAGACGUAGGUGCAAGUGUCGAAAAUCCAUUUCAAUUAUCUGACGUGUAUUACGGUACUGUCUACGCAUCGGGAGAGAUGGAAGACGAAGAGUGGUUCCUAAUUUAAAUUUGAGAAAAUUUUGCCAACGGUAAAAAGAAAAGAAAAAAACGAAAGCAAAAUAUACUUUCGCCAUGUAUACUUGUCGUUGAUCACGUAUACAGAUAUCGUAUCGAUAUUGUAGAGAAUUGGAAAGGAUUUAGAUUAUUUUCAUCUUAUAGUUUAGAUCUACAAUGUGUGUUGUGUGCAAGAAACGAAAGUAUACGUACAUACAUGUGAAUUUUUUGUAAAAUUUCACUUUCACGUGCAAUUGUAAUCACGCAAAGUCACGAGGCACUCUUUUCACGAUACCUGUUUGAAAUUUAAUCGAAGUACUACACAUACUCAAAUUCGACAUUAUUAAUUGUAAAACGAAUGGAUAAUUUGAAAAAACUUGUACAGCAAUGGUAAUAAUGAUAACAAUGCUGAAGAAACAACGGUGUUCUUACAAUGAACCGAAAGUGAAAUCAUACUCCACGCGCAGGUCAAGUCGAUUGAUGUAUACUCCUAGAAGUAAAUAAUACUGGAAAUACAUAGGUCGUCAUAUAUAUAUAUAUAUAUAUAUAUAUAUAUAUAUUGGUAGAUAGUAUCCAAUGAAUGAAACAAAUUUAUAAAGGUUCGAUAUUUCUAGGUCGUUUCUUUUUUAUUUUUCUUAUCCCGAGAAUACAUCGUUACUGCACCUUUGCCUGACUCUCAUUAAAUUUUCAAACAAAUCUUCCGUCUACCUUUACGAUUUUUUGAAGAUUAAUCGGACAUUUUUAUUUCCCCCUUUAGUCAUAAAAUUCUAUUCCCUAACCGUCUUAGUCUCUCCCUCGCCUUGGCUCCUUGCACAGAUAACAACAAGACAUCGUUUUCGAAUGCUGGUCAAUAAAUGGACAGUAAAUAACACAUGCAUAAUAUGAUAUGACAUACGUAAUCGCAGUGGAGAAUUAACGAAACUAGAAGAGGGACUCGCCUGUGCCGAAUAGCGUGCAUGCGAUUUGCUCUUCUCUCUUUCACUUCGCUUAUUGUUGUUGUUAUUCUUAUUAUUAUUCUUAUUAUUAUUAUUAUUAAACUAUAAAAUCUCGAUCAUUGAACAUUAUAUGCGUUGUUUCUCUGUACCUCGUUGACUUGUAAAAAGAAUCGAUUUUUUUUUUUUUUUUGUCGAUACGUCUCACGCGCACGCCAGUGAGACAUUAUUACUGCACAUAUGUGUAUGUAUAUGUAUAUGUAUAUCUUCCUCGUGUAUCGCCUUGCGAAAAAGCGUCGUGUAUUUACUAUUUUUGAAUAGGCAGAAACUCAAAAAAAAAAAAGGAAAAAAUAAAAUAAAAAGAAAAAAAGAACACCUUCAUACUUCACGUAAAGACUUACCUGUACACGCUCUGUAAAUGUCUCUUGUAAAUACACCUAGGUAGGCAUUACGGUAUUUGAAAAAUUGAAAAUUGUAAUUAUUAUUAUUGAUAUCUAUUAUUAUCGCUGUACUGCUACUACCACUACUACUAUUACCACUCUACUACUCCUACUACCAUUACUGCUAUUAUUAUUAUUAUUAUUAUUAAUAUAGUUAUUAUCGCUAUUGUCAUUGAUAUAAUUAUUAUUACUGUAAUCGUUAUUAUUAUAAUUAUAAUUGUAACUAUUAUUAAUUAUUACUAUUAAUUAUUAUUAUUAUUAUUAUUAUUAUUAUUAUUAUUAUUAUUAUUACUACUAAUAUGAAUAACAUGAGACCAACAUAAACCAUAAAACAUUAAACUGUUUUUGAUACUUCUUUUUCAAAAUAUUCCAUCAUCCUUUAUUCUACAUACAUCCUGUUCUGCCGAAGGAGUCGCAACCUACACACGCACCUGCAAUGCUAAAGAAAAGCGCUCCUGAGUUGUCUGUGCAGAGCUAUCCAAAAUAAUAAUCGGAAAAUUCAGCGAGCAUUGCUGCGUGGG